rnacentral:rRNA from 1 species
CCUACGGGCGGCACCAGUGGGGAAUAUUGGACAAUGGGCGCAAGCCUGAUCCAGCCAUGCCGCGUGAGUGAAGAAGGCCUUAGGGUUGUAAAGCUCAUUCACCGGUGAAGAUAAUGACGGUAACCGGAGAAGAAGCCCCGGCUAACUUCGUGCCAGCAGCCGCGGUAAUACGAAGGGGGCUAGCGUUGUUUGGAAUAACUGGGCGUAAAGCGCGCGUAGGCGGAUAGAUAAGUCAGAGGUGAAAUCCCGGGGCUCAACCCCGGAAUUGCCUUUGAUACUGUUUAUCUUGAGUGCAGAAGAGGUAAGUGGAAUUCCGAGUGUAGAGGUGAAAUUCGUAGAUAUUCGGAGGAACACCAGUGGCGAAGGCGGCUUACUGGUCUGCAACUGACGCUGAGGCGCGAAAGCGUGGGGAGCAAACAGGAUUAGAUACCCUGGUAGUC